CGUGGCGUCUAUCUGCAGUCGAGCGGACAGAUAGGAGCUUGCUCCUUUGACUUAGCGGCGGACGGGUGAGUAACACGUGGGCAACCUGCCCCUUAGACUGGGAUAACUCCGGGAAACCGGAGCUAAUACCGGAUAAUCCCUUUCUCCACCUGGAGAGAGGGUGAAAGAUGGCUUCGGCUAUCACUAAGGGAUGGGCCCGCGGCGCAUUAGCUAGUUGGUAAGGUAACGGCUUACCAAGGCAACGAUGCGUAGCCGACCUGAGAGGGUGAUCGGCCACACUGGGACUGAGACACGGCCCAGACUCCUACGGGAGGCAGCAGUAGGGAAUCUUCCGCAAUGGACGAAAGUCUGACGGAGCAACGCCGCGUGAGUGAGGAAGGCCUUCGGGUCGUAAAGCUCUGUUGUGAGGGAAGAAGCGGUACCGUUCGAAUAGGGCGGUGCCUUGACGGUACCUCACCAGAAAGCCACGGCUAACUACGUGCCAGCAGCCGCGGUAAUACGUAUGUGGCAAGCGUUGUCCGGAAUUAUUGGGCGUAAAGCGCGCGCACGCGGCUUCUUAAGUCUGAUGUGAAAUCUCGGGGCUCAACCCCGAGCGGCCAUUGGAAACUGGGGAGCUUGAGUGCAGAAGAGGAGAGUGGAAUUCCACGUGUAGCGGUGAAAUGCGUAGAGAUGUGGAGGAACACCAGUGGCGAACGCGACUCUCUGGUCUGUAACUGACGCUGAGGCGCGAAAGCGUGGGGAGCAAACAAGAUUAGAUACCCUGAUAGUCCACGCCGUAAACGAUGAGUGCUAGGUGUUAGGGGUUUCGAUGCCCCGUAGUGCCGAUUUUAACACAUUAACGCACUCCCGCCCUGGGGAGAAGUACGGCCGCAAGGGCUGAAAACUCAAAGGAAAUUGGACGGGGGGCACCCCGCACAAAGCAGUGAAAGCAUGUGUUUAAUUUCCGAAAGGCAACCGCCGAAAGAACCUUAACCCAGGGCUUCUCUGUUGGUGGCGG
rnacentral:rRNA from 1 species